UUGAGUCAAAAGCCUUACUAACAUCAAGCUAUAUCAUGUCUACUGCUUCCUCUCAUCCACUAAGCCAGUAACCCUAUCAAAGAUGGAAAUUGUGUUGGUUUGGCACAUUUAUUCUUGACAAUGCCAUGCUGGCUACUCCUUAUAACCCUAUUGUCCUUUAGGUGGUCACAAAUUGAUUGUUUAAUAAUUUUUUCCAAGUAUCUAAGUUAGGCUGCCUGGCUUAUAAUGACACGGUCCUCUUUGUUUCUCUUUUUAAAGAUAGGUACUGUGUUUGCCCUUCUUCAGUACUCUUGGACUUCACCUGUCUUCCAUGAGUUCUGGAAGAUAAUUGCUAAUGAUUCUAAGAUUGCAUGAGCUGCUUAAAGUAUCCUAGGAUGAAUUUCAUAACCCCCUGCUGACAUGAAUACAUUUAACUUAUCUAAAUGGACUUUAACCUGUUCUUUCCCUCUUUUAGCUUGCAUUCCUUACUCCUUGUCAGUGUUAAUUAUCUUGGUUAAUGGUGACCAAAUACUCGUUUUAAUGCAGACUGAAGCAAAAUAGACAUUGAACCGCAGCCUUCCUGAUGUCAUCAUUUUUUAGCUCUUUUGCCAUGAAGUAGAGGACCAAUACUUUCCUACAUAUUUCUGUUGCUCCUAAUGUAGAAAGUAAAUUCAAAGUACUCUAGUAGCUAGGCAUUAUGGACAACUACUAAUUAUUUUCUUGUUAUGCCCAGGAAGUCCCUUAUGCCCAGAUUCUGCAAUGGAAUCUAUCUGGUUAGUCCAGUUGGCUUCAGUGGGACUCUAAACUGGUAGAUCUAAAUUUGCAGAAUUAGGGAGAAAGUCUGGAAUUUACGGGUUUGGGUAAUUUUCCCCUGGUCCUCUCCCUUAAACCAAUGGGGGGUGUGUGUGUGUGUGUAUGUAUAUGUAUAUGUAUAUGUAUAAUAUAUAUAUAAUGCAUAUGUGUAUGUAUGUAUCACCAUAGGAGAUCUCUGAUUGCAGAAUAUCAGGUGCAAAUACUUUGUCAAUGUGGUGCAAGUUGCUGUAAAAGUGAAAACUGUGGCCUGAAAGGUAUUGAGUUAGCCUCUGUUUCUAUAUAGCAUAAAAGUCUGGUUUAAUAUCUGAGGCUGAUCCCAUACUUCAAGGACCUUUUAUUUUAUCACUGUACUGUUUUUGUCUGCCUAUUUUCAUUUAAUAUUGUACUAUGUAAGAAAACAAAUUAAAAUAGUUUAAAGAACUGUAGUGGUGUGUGUGAGAGAGAGACAGAAAUUAGACAAUAAUUUUACCAGUAUACAUUUACUGACAACAUUUUCCUUUUUGUAAAAUUGCAUUUAAAAUGAAAAUGAUAUAUAAAUGUGUCAGUCCUGUUCAAGACAUUAAAAUGAUGAAUUCUUGUCCAUGUUUCCAGUAGAAAUAAGUAUGUUGACAUUUUAAAAUGUAUAUGUAUUUAAUUUGUUUUAAUUUUCUUUCUGAACUUGUAUACGGAAAAAGUUCUCCUUUCCUCUCUGAGGUAGUGGCAAGCUUGCUUUUACAUGACCCAUCCUUAUUCUUUCAAUAAAGAAAUUGAAGAUGAAAGGGAUGCUGUUAAGUAUUUUAGGUCAAGAAUGUGAGGUUUAAUUAUAUAUAUUUAAAAAGUAAAAUUGAAAACAUAUUUUCCCUGCAAAGUUGGACACUUUAACACUAACUGUAUUCUGAUAAUGGUAAAGAGCCAGAAAGUGAGAGUGAUUAUAAACAAUCAAACUGACAAGUUCAGUUUUAUUGUCCAAUUUAAGUGUCAGGUAUAUAGUAGUAAAAAAAAAUUUUUAUAAAUUGUAAAAUGUAAAUUUUAAACUUCCACAGUUUAAAAAAAAAUUAAGAUAUUAUGAAUAAAACAGAUAAGGAAACACUUUUUUAACGUCUAAGGUUUUGGAGUCUCAUUCACCAUUCUGUUACUCUAGUUGUACACUAGUAUGACAGUAAUGUUAUGGCAGUAAAAAAUGGUGUAUUGUAGUGAUAGUCGGAGAUGCUUUCUGAAGCUUAAUCAAUAAAUAUUUGCAAAGUGCUUUGAGAUUCUUGGAUGAAAGAAACUUUAUUGUGGGUGCGGAUGGUAGUGCUAUGUAUUCAGGUUACUUGAUACUCCCCAUUACAAGACCCUGUUUUUAGUUGCUUAUAACUUUGUCAAACUUUAACUAUUUGAGCUGAAAUAUUCCAUGCUGGAUGUCUGCCUCAGGUGGAAUUAUUAUUAUUAUAAUUAUUAUUAUUUUAUUUUAAUUUCAGACAUAAGAGUGAAGCUAGAUACGAUGUUUUACCCUCGUUAAGUUCUGAUGACCUUUUAUUUGAAAAGCUCUAACGCCCCCAUACUUUGGAGCAGGGACUUGAAAUUUAACAGGGGGGCUAAAGAUGUGUCUGAGAUGUGCCUUUUGCAUCCUUGUGAAAAUCCACUGAAGUUUGGCCAAGGCCUUUGGAAAAUGGCAGUUUGCACAUGCUCAGCAGACGUGACUUAGACAUUAGCAGCUAAAUUCCACGAAGAUACUGUCCUCAGUGAGCAUGAUCCAGCACAGGGCUGAGCAGGACUUCACUUGCAAUUGCAAUUCUGGACUGCAGUGGGCCAUCCUGGGUCCGGGCAUCUGAACUGAGAUCAGGGAGCCUAUAUGUCCUGUGCUCUCAAUGACCUCCCUACUGGGCCCAGGCAGCAUGGAGGGGAAAACUUCUUGCUUCAGAUGCAGAGGGGACAAGUGCUAGACCUGUGCGAGGGGAAGGUGGCAGGGGAAAAGUAUUGGAACAAGGAGCCUGGGAGUGGGGCAGAAAUUGGUACUGGAGACUGUUAGUGGGUAGAGAAGAGGGAAACUGGGAUUGGGAGGGUAGGAUAGAUUGGGAUUGACUGGGUAAAGAGACUGGAACUGGGAGCCAGGAAACAAAACGGGUGAAUGUGCUAGGAGCCAGAGAGUGGGCGGAUGAAAGACUGAGACAAAUAGUAUGUGAUCAUGCAAUUUAAAGACUGUAUCAUGAUGCAUACACAGAAGGGGGCAUUUCCUAACUUUUGACUGAUUGACUUUGCAACCUUCUUUUAAUGUAGCUUUGGUGGUUUGUGUAAUAAUAAUCCUUGUUAUUUAUAUAGCUCCUUUCAUUCAUAAAAAUGUGCCAAAGCAAUUGAGCAACGUUAUCUCCAAUUUACACUUGGGAAAACCAAGGCACAGAGAAGCCUAGCAACUUGUUUAUGGAUACGCAGUGAUUCAGUAGCAGAGCUGGGAAUAUAAUCCAUGUGUCUUGAUUCUUAGUCCUGUGAUUUACUGUUGGGGCCAUGUUUCUUCUCCCCCUGUAAGUGCAAGUAUUAAUGUAAUUCGACUUCACAGUUAUGUAAUUACCCUUUUUAACGAUGGAAUUUUGCGAAUAUGAAGUGUCCCUAGGCAUGAAAAUGCAAAAGUUGCAUUGUAAAAUACUAUUUUGCAGGAUCUUUUCUUUAGGACAUGCUGUAACUCAUGUUAAUGACAAAUCACAGCUGAUCUGCUUGAAACUAAAGUUACUGUAACUUUGACUGGUUGACAGUGUUUCUGCUUAAGAGGAAGAAAACCUGUUUUUUAAAUUUAAAGCUUGUUUUUGCCUUUUUUCACAAAUAUGAAUCCGGACUUCCACUUUGAGGCAGUAGAGGUAGUUUAUGAAUCUAAAGUUUAUGUAGCACAGUGGUUAAAUGUCAAUAGAACUCAAAAGAAUUAAAAAAAUCUCUAUCCAAAAGAGUAACUGUUAUUUCUACAGAGCUAUAACGUAGAGAGAUCAAGCUUCUCGUAGUUUU